rnacentral:rRNA from 1 species
AACGAACGCUGGCGGCAUGCCUAACACAUGCAAGUCGAACGAUGCCUUCGGGCAUAGUGGCGCACGGGUGCGUAACGCGUGGGAAUCUGCCCUUCGGUUCGGAACAACAGUUAGAAAUGACUGCUAAUACCGGAUGAUGACGUAAGUCCAAAGAUUUAUCGCCGAAGGAUGAGCCCGCGUAGGAUUAGCUAGUUGGUGGGGUAAAGGCCCACCAAGGCGACGAUCCUUAGCUGGUCUGAGAGGAUGAUCAGCCACACUGGGACUGAGACACGGCCCAGACUCCUACGGGAGGCAGCAGUGGGGAAUAUUGGACAAUGGGCGAAAGCCUGAUCCAGCAAUGCCGCGUGAGUGAUGAAGGCCUUAGGGUUGUAAAGCUCUUUUACCCGGGAUGAUAAUGACAGUACCGGGAGAAUAAGCUCUGGCUAACUCCGUGCCAGCCGCCGCCGUAA